UGGGGAAUAUUGCACAAUGGGCGCAAGCCUGAUGCAGCCAUGCCGCGUGUGUGAAGAAGGCCCUCGGGUUGUAAAGCACUUUCAGCGGGGAGGAAGGGGAUAAGGUUAAUAACCUUGUCGAUUGACGCUACCCGCAGAAGAAGCACCGGCGAACUCCGUGCGAGCAGCCGCGGUAAUACGGAGGGUGCAAGCGUUAAUCGGAAUUACUGGGCGUAAAGUGCACGCAGGCGGUCUGUCAAGUCGGUUGUGAAAUCCCCUGGCUCAACCUGGUAACUGCAGUCGAAACUGGAAAGCUAGAGUCUUGUAGAGGCGGAUAGAAUUCCAGGUGUAGCGGUGAAAUGCGUAGAGAUCUGGAGGAAUACCGGUGGCGAAGGCGUCCCCCUGGACAAAGACUGACGCUCAGGUGCGAAAGCGUGGGGAGCAAACAGG
rnacentral:rRNA from 1 species